rfam:Trichobilharzia regenti genome assembly, scaffold: TRE_scaffold0020812
AUCAAGGUCCUUUUUAGGACCACCUUUUUUAUAGGAUAGUGAGUUAU